ensembl:lncRNA
GGGGGGGCCAGUCCUCUUCUGGCUGUACCAGGUAGAGAGGAACCAGGCUAUGGGGGGUGGCCAGUCCUCUUCUGGCUGUGCCGGGUGGAGAGGAACCAGGCUCUGAGGGGUGGCCAGUCCUCUUCUGGCUGUACCAGGUAGAGAGGAACCAGGCUAUGAGGGGUGGCCAGUCCUCUUCUGUACCUGGUGGAGAGGAACCAGGGUAUGAGGGGUGGCCAGUCCUCUUCUGGCUGUACCAGGUGGAGAGGAACCAGGCUCUGAGGGGUGGCCAGUCCUCUUCUGUGCCGGGUGGAGAUUAUAACAGAACAUGGACGAG